AACGUAGGAGGCAAGCGUUAUCCGGAGUUACUGGGCGUAAAGCGCAUGUAGGCGGUUGGGCAAGUGGCGUGUGAAAGCUCCCGGCUAAACUGGGAGAGGACAGGUCAGACUGCUCGACUGGAGGACGGUAGAGGGGCGUGGAAUUCCGGGUGUAGCGGUGAAAUGUGUAGAGAUCCGGAGGAACACCAGUGGUGCAGACGGCGCCCUGGGCCGUACCUGACGCUGAGAUGCGAAAGCGUGGGGAGCGAACGGGAUUAGAAACCCCAGUAGUCC
rnacentral:rRNA from 1 species